AACCAGAAGGCGCAAUGAAAGUGAAGGCACGGCCGCCGUGCUGAGGUGAGAGCUGUCGACGGCAGCACAUCAUCGACCGAUCCCAUUCACACCUCCGGGUGUGGCAGGAUUCGAGUAAGAGUGUACCUGUUGCGACCCGAAAGAUGGUGAACUAUGCCUGAAUAGGGUGAAGCCAGAGGAAACUCUGGUGGAGGCCCGUAGCGAUUCUGACGUGCAAAUCGAUCGUCAAAUUUGGGUAUAGGGGCGAAAGACUAAUCGAACCAUCUAGUAGCUGGUUCCCUCCGAAGUUUCCCUCAGGAUAGCUGUAGCCCGAAGCAGUUUUAUCAGGUAAAGCGAAUGAUUAGAGGUAUCGGGGAAGAAACUUCCUCGACCUAUUCUCAAACUUUAAAUAGGUAAGAAGUCCGACUUGCUCAAUUUGAAGCCGGACAUAGAAUGCUGGGUUACUAGUGGGCCAUUUUUGGUAAGCAGAACUGGCGAUGCGGGAUGAACCGAACGCCGAGUUAAGGUGCCAAAGUCGACGCUCAUCAGAUCCCACAAA
rnacentral:rRNA from 1 species